ACGAACGCUGGCGGCGUGCUUAACACAUGCAAGUCGAACGGUGAAGCGCCUUCCUUUUUGGUGGGUGUGGAUGAGUGGCGCACGGGUGAGUAACACGUGAGUAACCUGCCCCCUUCUUCUGGAUAACCGCAUGAAAGUGUGGCUAAUACGGGAUAUUCUGGGUCUGUCGCAUGAUGGGUCUGGGAAAGAUAUUGUUUCGGUGGGGGAUGGGCUCGCGGCCUAUCAGCUUGUUGGUGGGGUGAUGGCCUACCAAGGCGGUGACGGGUAGCCGGCCUGAGAGGGUGGACGGUCACACUGGGACUGAGACACGGCCCAGACUCAUACGGGAGGCAGCAGUGGGGAAUAUUGCACAAUGGGCGCAAGCCUGAUGCAGCGACGCCGCGUGAGGGAUGGAGGCCUUCGGGUUGUGAACCUCUUUCGCCAGUGAAGCAGGCCUGCCUCGUUUGUGGGUGGGUUGACGGUAGCUGGAUAAGAAGCGCCGGCUAACUACGUG
rnacentral:rRNA from 1 species